UACGUAGGGGGCAAGCGUUGUCCGGAAUCAUUGGGCGUAAAGCGCACGUAGGCGGUCUGUUAUGUCGGAUGUGAAAGCCCUUGGCUCAACUGAGGAAGUGCAUCCGAAACUGGCAGGCUAGAGUACUAAAGAGGGUCGCGGAAUUCCCGGUGUAGAGGUGAAAUUCGUAGAUAUCGGGAGGAACACCGGUGGCGAAGGCGGCGACCUGGGUAGAUACUGACGCUGAGGUGCGAAAGCGUGGGGAGCAAACAGG
rnacentral:rRNA from 1 species